AAGAAAGACUGCAAGAACUGCUAAUUCAUGCCCCCCACGCCUAGACCCGUGGCUUUCUUA
rnacentral:tRNA from 1 species